AGGACGAACGCUGGCGGCGUGCUUAACACAUGCAAGUCGAACGGAAAGGCCCUUCGGGGUACUCGAGUGGCGAACGGGUGAGUAACACGUGGGUGAUCUGCCCUGCACUUCGGGAUAAGCCUGGGAAACUGGGUCUAAUACCGGAUAUACCUCAUUGGUUGCAUGACUGGUGGGGGAAAGCUUUUGCGGUGUGGGAUGGGCCCGCGGCCUAUCAGCUUGUUGGUGGGGUGAUGGCCUACCAAGGCGUCGACGGGUAGCCGGCCUGAGAGGGUGUCCGGCCACACUGGGACUGAGAUACGGCCCAGACUCCUACGGGAGGCAGCAGUGGGGAAUAUUGCACAAUGGGCGCAAGCCUGAUGCAGCGACGCCGCGUGGGGGAUGACGGCCUCGGGUUGUAACCUCUUUCAGUAGGACGAAGCGCAAGUGACGGUACCUACAGAAGAAGCACCGGCCACUACGCGCCAGCAGCCGC
rnacentral:rRNA from 1 species